GACGAACGCUGGCGGCGUGCUUAACACAUGCCAGUCGAACGGAAAGGCCCUGCUUUUGUGGGGUGCUCGAGUGGCGAACGGGUGAGUAACACGUGAGUAACCUGCCCCUGACUUUGGGAUAACUUCAGGAAACUGGGGCUAAUACCGGAUAGGAGCUCCUGCUGCAUGGUGGGGGUUGGAAAGUUUCGGCGGUUGGGGAUGGACUCGCGGCUUAUCAGCUUGUUGGUGGGGUAGUGGCUUACCAAGGCUUUGACGGGUAGCCGGCCUGAGAGGGUGACCGGCCACAUUGGGACUGAGAUACGGCCCAGACUCCUACGGGAGGCAGCAGUGGGGAAUAUUGCACAAUGGGCGGAAGCCUGAUGCAGCAACGCCGCGUGCGGGAUGACGGCCUUCGGGUUGUAAACCGCUUUCGCCUGUGACGAAGCGUGAGUGACGGUAAUGGGUAAAGAAGCACCGGCUAACUACGUG
rnacentral:rRNA from 1 species